AGUGAACGCUGGCGGUAGGCCUAACACAUGCAAGUCGAACGGCAGCACAGUAAGAGCUUGCUCUUACGGGUGGCGAGUGGCGGACGGGUGAGGAAUACAUCGGAAUCUACUUUUUCGUGGGGGAUAACGUAGGGAAACUUACGCUAAAACGCCUAAGGCCCACGGGUGAAAACAAGGGAACUUCGGGCCUUGCGGGGAUGGAUGAGCCGAUGUCGGAUUAGCUAGUUGGCGGGGUAAAGGCCCAACAAGGCGACGAUCCGUAGCUGGUCUGAGAGGAUGAUCAGCCACACUGGAACUGAGACACGGUCCAGACUCCUACGGGAGGCAGCAGUGGGGAAUAUUGGACAAUGGGCGCAAGCCUGAUCCAGCCAUACCGCGUGGGUGAAGAAGGCCUUCGGGUUGUAAAGCCCUUUUGUUGGGAAAGAAAAGCAGCAGGUUAAUACCCCGCUGUUCUGACGGUACCCAAAGAAUAAGCACCGACUAACUUCGUG
rnacentral:rRNA from 1 species